rnacentral:rRNA from 1 species
CCUGUUUAUCUUAGUGGCGGACGGGUGAGUAACGCGUGGGUAACCUGCCCUGUACAGGGGGAUAACACUUAGAAAUAGGUGCUAAAACCGCAUAAGCGCACAGUACCGCAUGGUACAGUGUGAAAAACUCCGGUGGUACAGGAUGGACCCGCGUCUGAUUAGCUGGUUGGAGGGGUAACGGCCCACCAAGGCGACGAUCAGUAGCCGGCCUGAGAGGGUGAACGGCCACAUUGGGACUGAGACACGGCCCAAACUCCUACGGGAGGCAGCAG